rnacentral:rRNA from 1 species
UACAGAGGUCUCAAGCGUUGUUCGGAUUCAUUGGGCGUAAAGGGGUGCGUAGGCGGCGCGGUAAGUCGGGGUGUGAAAUCUCGGAGCUUAACUCCGAAACUGCAUUCGAUACUGCCGUGCUUGAGGACUGGAGAGGAGACUGGAAUUUACGGUGUAGCGGUGAAAUGCGUAGAUAUCGUAAGGAAGACCAGUGGCGAAGGCGGGUCUCUGGACAGUUCCUGACGCUGAGGCACGAAGGUCAGGGGAGCAAACGGG